rnacentral:rRNA from 2 species
GAUGAACGCUGGCGGCGUGCCUAAUACAUGCAAGUCGAACGAGUUCUCGUUGAUGAUCGGUGCUUGCACCGAGAUUCAACAUGGAACGAGUGGCGGACGGGUGAGUAACACGUGGGUAACCUGCCCUUAAGUGGGGGAUAACAUUUGGAAACAGAUGCUAAUACCGCAUAGAUCCAAGAACCGCAUGGUUCUUGGCUGAAAGAUGGCGUAAGCUAUCGCUUUUGGAUGGACCCGCGGCGUAUUAGCUAGUUGGUGAGGUAAUGGCUCACCAAGGCGAUGAUACGUAGCCGAACUGAGAGGUUGAUCGGCCACAUUGGGACUGAGACACGGCCCAAACUCCUACGGGAGGCAGCAGUAGGGAAUCUUCCACAAUGGACGCAAGUCUGAUGGAGCAACGCCGCGUGAGUGAAGAAGGCUUUCGGGUCGUAAAACUCUGUUGUUGGAGAAGAAUGGUCGGCAGAGUAACUGUUGUCGGCGUGACGGUAUCCAACCAGAAAGCCACGGCUAACUACGUGCCAGCAGCCGCGGUAAUACGUAGGUGGCAAGCGUUAUCCGGAUUUAUUGGGCGUAAAGCGAGCGCAGGCGGUUUUUUAAGUCUGAUGUGAAAGCCCUCGGCUUAACCCGAGGAAGCGCAUCGGAAACUGGGAAACUUGAGUGCAGAAGAGGACAGUGGAACUCCAUGUGUAGCGGUGAAAUGCGUAGAUAUAUGGAAGAACACCAGUGGCGAAGGCGGCUGUCUGGUCUGUAACUGACGCUGAGGCUCGAAAGCAUGGGUAGCGAACAGGAUUAGAUACCCUGGUAGUCCAUGCCGUAAACGAUGAAUGCUAGGUGUUGGAGGGUUUCCGCCCUUCAGUGCCGCAGCUAACGCAUUAAGCAUUCCGCCUGGGGAGUACGACCGCAAGGUUGAAACUCAAAGGAAUUGACGGGGGCCCGCACAAGCGGUGGAGCAUGUGGUUUAAUUCGAAGCAACGCGAAGAACCUUACCAGGUCUUGACAUCUUUUGAUCACCUGAGAGAUCAGGUUUCCCCUUCGGGGGCAAAAUGACAGGUGGUGCAUGGUUGUCGUCAGCUCGUGUCGUGAGAUGUUGGGUUAAGUCCCGCAACGAGCGCAACCCUUAUGACUAGUUGCCAGCAUUUAGUUGGGCACUCUAGUAAGACUGCCGGUGACAAACCGGAGGAAGGUGGGGAUGACGUCAAAUCAUCAUGCCCCUUAUGACCUGGGCUACACACGUGCUACAAUGGAUGGUACAACGAGUUGCGAGACCGCGAGGUCAAGCUAAUCUCUUAAAGCCAUUCUCAGUUCGGACUGUAGGCUGCAACUCGCCUACACGAAGUCGGAAUCGCUAGUAAUCGCGGAUCAGCACGCCGCGGUGAAUACGUUCCCGGGCCUUGUACACACCGCCCGUCACACCAUGAGAGUUUGUAACACCCGAAGCCGGUGGCGUAACCCUUUUAGGGAGCGAGCCGUCUAAGGUGGGACAAAUGAUUAGGGUG